rnacentral:rRNA from 1 species
CAGCAGUAGCCGCGGGAAUACAGAGGGUGCAAGCGUUAAUCGGAAUUACUGGGCGUAAAGCGCGCGUAGGUGGUUUGUUAAGUUGGAUGUGAAAUCCCCGGGCUCAACCUUGGAACUGCAUCCAAAACUGGCAAGCUAGAGUAUGGUAGAGGGUGGUGGAAUUUCCUGUGUAGCGGUGAAAUGCGUAGAUAUAGGAAGGAACACCAGUGGCGAAGGCGACCACCUGGACUGAUACUGACACUGAGGUGCGAAAGCGUGGGGAGCAAACAGGAUUAGAUACCCCAGUAGUCCCUGUCUCUUAUAC